rnacentral:lncRNA from 1 species
UUUUUUUUUUUUGGUCACAAUAGCUCCUGGGCCAGAGAUCGAACUCCUGCUACAGCAGAGACUUGAGCCACAGCAGUGACAACACUGCAUCCUUAACCCACUGAGCCACCAGGGAAAUCCUGGAUCACCCAUCAAACCACCUCCCAAAGGCCCUCCUCCUAAUACUAUCGCACUGGGAAUUAGGCUUGAACAUAUGAAUUAGAGAGGUAGGGGAGACACAUUCAGUCUACGGCACAUAUGUUUUCAUAUUUUCUGGCCCAGUUUUGGUCACCUAAGAGCUGCAUAAUAAAUACUUGAUGGUUGAUUGUUAAUUAUAUUGUAUAAAGGUUUGCACAACACACCUUUAUUUGUUUAUUCAGUAAACAUCCAUUUGAGAAAACCUAUAAUGAGGCAGGCGUUGUUGUAGGCACAAGGAGACACCAGUAACCAGGACACACCUGGUCUCCUGCCUGUUUGCCUGCCUGCCUGGAGCACAUGUUCAGAAUUAUUUAUCAUCAUCCUUUUGGUGCCAGCAAUGAAAAGUGUUCCUAGAUUAUGCAAUUCUAUUGAGUCUAUAUAUAAAGUCAGUUGUUGCUUUAAAACUGUGCAAACAGUGGGGGUUCCCAUCGUGGUGCAAAGGAAAUGAAUCCUACCAGGAACCAUGGGGUUGCGGGUUCGAUCCCUGGCCUCGCUCAUGGGUUAAGGAUCUGGUGUUGCUGUGAGCUAUGGUGUAGGUCACAGACGCGGCUUGGAUUCCGAAUUGCAGUAACUGUGGUAGUAGGCUGGCAGCUACAGCUCCAAUUCGGCCUCUAACCUGGGAACUUCCAUAUGCCACAGGUGUGGCCCUGAAAAGACCAAAAAAAAAUUUUUUUUUCCUUGAAAUUUCACUUAAUCUUCUUCUAUCAGUUCCACACAUUCUACAGUGUGCCUUAUUGGCAGAAGUUGUAUCUUUACAACGGUGGUUCUCACGCUUUUUGACCUUAAGACCUCCUUAUACUCUUAAAAUUAUUAGAACACCAAAGGGCUUUGGUUUAUGUGAGUUAUAGCACUAUAGUUAUUUGCACUACUGUAAAAUUUUAAAAAUACUUUUAAAAUUACUCCAAAGCAAUAAUAAAUUCAUUGCAUGUUCACAAAAUGACAUAUUUUUAUGAAGAAUAGCUAUGGUUUUCCAAACCUGAAACAUUUUGUGAAAAAAUGGCAUUGUUUUACAUUUUUGAAAAUCCCUUUAACAUCAGGCUUAAUAUCAUUUCAAUAUUUAAGAGCUGGAUUCUCACAUCUCCUUCUGCAUUCACUCUGUUGUAAUAUGUUGUUUUAGUUUAAGUAUGUGAAAAAAAACCUGGCUUCGUACAUAUAUGUGCUUGGAAAAGAGAAGAGAAUUUUCAUAGCCUUUUCAUAUAAUGAUGGCUAUUCCCCUUUGAAACCUCACCAAAAGUAGACAAGUAGCAUAGCAAUUUCUUAAGUUCAGUGUAGUAUGGACUCUGAAAUGGUUUCAGUGAAAUUUCCCUACUCAGUUAUAUUAAUACCUUGGUCUAUAAUGCACUUUCAAUGGAUCUUCUGUCCAUAGUCUUACAUAAUUUUAUAACAUCAUGCAUUGACAAUUUGGAAAAUAUUGGUUCACUGAGCUGUGGACAUUUUCCAAAUGUUGACACAUGUCAUUAUACAACCUCAACAAAUCACAUUCGUUAACAUCAGCACCAAUCUUAUCUCAAAAAAAUCUUUAAGUAUUGGGAUAUUGUCGAGCUUAUGAUGCCCGGUUCAAGAUUUUAUAAAAAGCUAAUAUUUUAAAAACUCAAAAGAAACAAAUAUUAAUGGUUGGUUUUCCUUGGUGUGACAAGCUCAUUUGGUUCAUUUUCAAGAAUAUGCCUGCCAAGCUGUCAAGUCUGAAUAACCCAGUUGCCAGUUGUUCUUUCAAGUAAAAAUUGUGUUCCAUAGAGAAAGCAGUUGGUUCAGCUCACCACUCAAACGAUGGUGCAAGAGCUUUUCCUGGAGAUAACUGUGGUAGUUGGAUACACAGCAGAAGUGCUUCAUAUGAAAUAGAAUACUUUCUAUUUCAUCACACUGAGUAUCCAAAAGACCUGGUGAAAGUUCAAGAUUUAUUUUUUUAUUUUUAUAUACAUAUAAUGAUUUAUAUUUUUUUCCCAUUAUAGCUGCUUUACAGUGUUCUGUCAAUUGUCCACUGUACAGCAUGGUGACCCAGUUACACAUACAUGUAUACAUUCUUUUUUCUCACAUUAUCAUGCUCCAUCAUAAGUGACCAGACAUAGUUCCCAGUGCUACACAGCAGGAAAGUUUAUGCUGCUUUAUCAAGGAAUUCUUAUGUAAAACUGGCUUAAAAAAAAAAAAAAGAAUUCUAGAUGGCAGCAAAGCAUACUGUAACUACUAGUAUAGUUUGGUGCCAUUGUCAUGAUUCAUGUUAAAGCAUCAACAUUUUUAGCUCCCAUGGCUUUUGUAGCAUAUAUACAAAUGGAAAAACAGUGUUUAGAAGGGGUCAUUUGCAAAUAACAUAUUAUUAUUAUUAAUUUUGACUUUGCAGACUUCCAGAAAGGGGCUUGGAGACCCUGAGUGUGUCCCUGUCAUUGCACUUUGAGAACCACUCCUUUAGAGUCUGUUAUGGAUUGAAUUACGUGCCCCCAACAGUCAUGUGUUUAAUUAGCAUGUGAACUAAUUCCCAGGACCUCAGAAUGUGAUAGUGGUUUGUGAUUGGGCCUUGACAGAAGUGAUUAAUUUAAAAUGAGCCAGUUAGGGGAGGCCCCAAUCCAGUGUGAUCAGUACUCUUGUAAGUGAUAAUUAGGACACGCAGAGGGACCCACACCAGGGACCAUCAGAGGAAGAGGCAGCCAGAGGAUGACCAUCUGCAAGCCAGGGAGAGAGGCCUCAGAGGAAACCAAUACAGCUGGCACCUUUAUCUUGGAUUUCCAGCCUCCAAAUCUAUGAGAAAAAUUCUGUUUGGUAAGCCACCUAGUCUGUUCCAUUCCGCUGUGGCAGCCCUAGCGGACUAACAGAGUCUUUCCCAUGCCCACCCUGAGCGUCACAUGGCCUCUGUAACAAUUCCCCCUCUUUCUCUGGC